rnacentral:rRNA from 1 species
UACAGAGGGUGCAAGCGUUGUUCGGAAUUGUUGGGCGUAAAGCGCGUGUAGGCGGCCUAGCAAGUUGGGUGUGAAAGCCCUCGGCUUAACCGAGGAAGUGCGCCCAAAACUACAAGGCUUGAGUACCGGAGAGGGUGGUGGAAUUCCCGGUGUAGAGGUGAAAUUCGUAGAUAUCGGGAGGAACACCAGUGGCGAAGGCGACCACCUGGACGGAUACUGACGCUGAGACGCGAAAGCGUGGGGAGCAAACAGG